rnacentral:rRNA from 1 species
UACGUAGGGUGCAAGCGUUGUCCGGAAUUAUUGGGCGUAAAGAGCUCGUAGGCGGUUUGUUGCGUCGGCUGUGAAAUCCCGAGGCUCAACCUCGGGUCUGCAGUCGAUACGAGCAAACUAGAGUGUUGCAGGGGAGACUGGAAUUCCUGGUGUAGCGGUGAAAUGCGCAGAUAUCAGGAGGAACACCGGUGGCGAAGGCGGGUCUCUGGGCCGAUACUGACGCUGAGGAGCGAAAGCGUGGGGAGCGAAUAGG